rnacentral:rRNA from 1 species
GCAGUCGAGCGGCAGCACAGAGGAACUUGUUCCUUGGGUGGCGAGCGGCGGACGGGUGAGUAAUGCCUGGGAAAUUGCCCGGUAGAGGGGGAUAACCAUUGGAAACGAUGGCUAAUACCGCAUAACCUCGCAAGAGCAAAGCAGGGGACCUUCGGGCCUUGCGCUGCCGGAUAUGCCCAGGUGGGAUUAGCUAGUUGGUGAGGUAAGGGCUCACCUAGGCGACGAUCCCUAGCUGGUCUGAGAGGAUGACCAGCCACACUGGAACUGAGACACGGUCCAGACUCCUACGGGAGGCAGCAGUGGGGAAUAUUGCACAAUGGGCGCAAGCCUGAUGCAGCCAUGCCGCGUGUAUGAAGAAGGCCUUCGGGUUGUAAAGUCCUUUCAGCGGGGAGGAAGGGAGUAAAGUUAAUACCUUUGCUCAUUGACGUUACCCGCAGAAGAAGCACCGGCUAACUCCGUGCCAGCAGCCGCGGUAAUACGGAGGGUGCAAGCGUUAAUCGGAAUUACUGGGCGUAAAGCGCACGCAGGCGGUUUGUUAAGUCAGAUGUGAAAUCCCCGGGCCCAACCUGGGAACUGCAUUCGAAACUGGCAGGCUAGAGUCUUGUAGAGGGGGGUAGAAUUCCAGGUGUAGCGGUGAAAUGCGUAGAGAUCUGGAGGAAUACCGGUGGCGAAGGCGGCCCCCUGGACAAGACUGACGCUCAGUG